CAGUUCGGAUCGCAGGCUGCAACCCGCCUGCGUGAAGUUGGAAUCGCUAGUAAUCGCGGAUCAGCAUGCCGCGGUGAAUACGUUCCCGGGCCUUGUACACACCGCCCGUCACACCAUGAGAGUCGGGAACACCCGAAGUCCGUAGCCUAACCGCGAAGGGGGGCGCGGCCGAAGGUGGGUUCGAUAAUUGGGGUGAAGUCGUAACAAGGUACC
rnacentral:rRNA from 1 species